CACGCUCUAGUUGUGGGGCGAAAAAGCUGAAAUCGGAGUAAUAAAAAGCGAGGAACGAUAACGAGAUUCUCCAGAUCGCCGACUUGUCCUGUUAACAGCAUCGGUGUGGUGACGUAAAUUUGUUUUGCCAUUUUCGCGGUCGUCUCGUGCAGGUGUUAGAAGCAGCUGUUAUUCAGUUGAAUUACUCUGAUGUGACAGUUGAUAUUAUGGAAGCUGCAACACCUGGCACAGAUGUGCAGCCACUGACGCGCAGUUGGAGCUAUGAAUUCCUGCCACCAGACAUGUCUGAGCUGAGGGUUAUUCUGCUGGGGGGCAGAUGGCCUGACAGAGAGUCACUGGGAGACUUAAUACUGGGCGAGGAUGUGUUCAGUCAAUCUGAGUAUUACCAUCUCAGAGUGAGUGGAACAGUGGAAGGCAAAAAAAUUGCUGUUAUCAACACUCCAGAUCUGGACUUUCCCAAAAUGGACCAACUGACAGCAUUUGUACAAGACUGUGCAAAAAACUCAGAUCCUGGACCUCAUGUGUUCCUGUUAGUUCUACAACCUGAAGACUUCAAUGAACAACAAAAACAGAUACUCUGCAAAGUCCUUGAAAGCUACAGCGAACGAUCAUUUGAUCAUUCAUUGAUAGUCAUAUUAACACCAAAAGAGGAAAGCUCAACCUGGGUGGACAGUUGCAUACAAACUGAACCAAUAAAAAGCCUGAUCAAGAAAUGUAGGUAUAGAUACUUAUGGCAGAGCAACCUUGAGAGUAGAGAGCUAUUAACACGUCUGGGUCAAAUUGUAAAGGAGCACAAUGGAGAGCAUCUUAUCCAUGAACCAUUUGAAGAAACAACACAGACUUUGCCAGGAAAACUUAAA